AUGCCAUGAUCUGGACAUGUUCUCAGUAGCUCUUUGUACCUUUUCCAUGCAUCAGGAACUUCUUCAUCAUUCAUUUGUAUAAAAAUGCAAAUUUCAUUUAUGGAUUU